UGGUGCAAAAGUAAUUGCGGUUUUUGCCUUUGAAAGUAAUGGGAAAAACCGCAAUUACUU
ensembl:miRNA